rnacentral:rRNA from 1 species
CGAACGCUGGCGGCGUGCCUAAUACAUGCAAGUAGGACGCACAGUCUAUACCGUAGCUUGCUACACCAUAGGCUGUGAGUUGCGAACGGGUGAGUAACGCGUAGGUAACCUGCCUAUUAGAGGGGGAUAACUAUUGGAAACGAUAGCUAAUACCGCAUAACAGUAUGUAACACAUGUUAGAUGCUUGAAAGAUGCAAUUGCAUCGCUAGUAGAUGGACCUGCGUUGUAUUAGCUAGUAGGUAGGGUAAUGGCCUACCUAGGCGACGAUACAUAGCCGACCUGAGAGGGUGAUCGGCCACACUGGGACUGAGACACGGCCCAGACUCCUACGGGAGGCAGCAGUAGGGAAUCUUCGGCAAUGGGGGGAACCCUGACCGAGCAACGCCGCGUGAGUGAAGAAGGUUUUCGGAUCGUAAAGCUCUGUUGUUAAGGAAGAACGAGUGUGAGAAUGGAAA